rnacentral:rRNA from 1 species
AUCGAACGCUGGCGGCAGGCCUAACACAUGCAAGUCGAGCGAGUGGCGGACGGGUGAGUAAUGUAUGGGCAACUGCCCGAUAGAGGGGGAUCACUACUGGAAACGGUGGCUUAUACCGCAUACUAUCGGAGGAACCCAGAUGGGAUUAGGUAGUGGGUGGGGUAUAGGCUCACCUAGGCGACGAUCUCUCGCUGGUCUGAGAGGAUGAUCGGCCACAUGGGGACUGAGACACGGCCCAGACUCCUCCGGAAGGCAGCAGUGGGGAAUAUUCCACAAUGGGCGCAAGCCUGAGGCAGCCCUGCGGCGUGUAUGAAGAAGGCCUUAGGGUGGGAAAGUACUUUCAGCGGGGAGGCGUUACCCGCAGAAGAAGCCCCGGCUAACUCCGUGCCAGCAGCCGCGGUAAUAC